AUUUUAAGUCCUUGGGGUCUUUUGGUCCACAAAUAUUUUGGUUUAUAUAUCUUGCCUUGAGGUAGAUCAAAUAUAUAACAAGGAAAGUUUGUGUUAUUGGUAAUAAAAAUCCUAGCUAUGGCAUUGUCACAUCACACUAAUUGAGACGGUGAGGCCAGUGGAUCUUGUUGAUGCCGUCUUGUUUUCAAGUAGAAACUAAUUAAUUUUUGCGGUGAGCCUGAUGAAAAUUAUGGGCACCAUUUUGUAGACUAGUUGGACUCAAGUUUAUGCAAUGGAUCAAUUAAGAACUAACCGGUUGUUUCUUCCUGCUGUCGGACAGCUCUAAAUUAGAGAAGCUCUUGUUAGACAAUUGCCAUCUCUCUCUCUCUCUCUCUCUCUCUUUCACGUACAUUCAAACACACCCACCUUGGCCUUUGCCAAGCCAUCAGUGAAGAGCGCUUUAUCAUUGGAACACGUUGUCGGGGCCCGCUUGUCCACCAACGGGGAAGUCGUGCCUCAGCCGCCGACACUUUGACCGAGGGGGUCGAAAGUUGACCUGCCACGUGCAUGGCGCAGUCGCCCACACCACCUCACCGGUUGGUGAUGCUCUGACUCACCGCACGAUCGGGUCGUUAAGAGAGAGAGGGAGAGAGAGAGAAUAAGGCUUCCCUACUGACCUUCGAUCGGCGAAGCAUCGUUGGACGAAGAGGAGGUGAUGGCGCCGAGCGGCGGCGGGGGACUCAUUGACCAGAAGCAAUUCGAGCGGCAGAUGGGUUGCAUGGCCGGAUUCCUCCACCUCUUGGACCGCCACCAGAUCCUCCCGCGGAAGCGCUUCCCUCCAUCCCGGGCCGCCGGAUCCACCUUGCCGUUGGAGAGAUCGGAUGCUUCCAAGGAGAAGGAGAGGCAGCGCCGGUCCCCGAGCGUCGUCGCACGGCUAAUGGGGCUCGACGCACUUCCGGACGUCGCUGCCGCCGGCCGCGCGGAGCUACUCCGGUCCGUCUCUGAGUCUCGUGUUGUUAGUGAUCCAGCGGACUGCCCGUUCCUCGAUGGGCGCUCGUUCCCGAAAUCCAAAUCGCAGGCGAGGAGGCCCCUCCUUCCUGCGCUCCAGAGGAAGAGCUUCUUCGACACGGCGGGCGUCUUCACGGAGCCGAAGAGGUGGGAAUUGCUCCCUGUUGAAUCCGGGAAGCGGCGCCUGAUGCGAGGGAUGGACGAGGCGGCGAGGAAUUUGAAGACGCUGAAGCAGAUCCUGGAGGCGUUCCAGCUGCAGGGGCUCCUGCACUCCAAACCGUCGGAUCAGCAGAUCAACGACCGCAGCGACCACCUACACGACGACCGCUACAGGUGCUCCCACAACUCGAGGAACGUCGUCAUCGAACCCGCUUCCACUCUGCCCCAGAGGCCGCCGAGCGGACCCCGCCCGCCGCUGCCACCCGGGUCCGGUGUCACUCGCCGGAACCUCAAAGUGGAGUCAGCAACUCGUCCCGUCCGGUGCUAUCGGAGGGCCGAUCGGACUCCUACAGGAAGCCAUGAACCGCAGAACUGGGCUACUAGCUCGACGGCGAAGCAGAGGUCCUCAAUUGCGGUGGAGUCCGGUAAGAGUUCGUCACCUCGAAGGCGGAUCUCGGCCGUGAAUCCACCGAAAAUCCCUCCGAACCAAAUUGGGCAAAGUCCAGUUACCGGGCGACUGUUACCAAAUCAGCGGCCAAAGCAAGAGGUCAUCUUCAAGCGGAAAACACGCUCACUGGCGGAGGAUGAUACCUCCAGCACCACCCACUCUCCGUUGCCCGUCGAUAGAUCUCCGGAGGACUGCAGGGCGGGGCGGCAGCUGUUGGAGCUGUGCGACCGGUUGCUGCAAAGCAUCACAGCUUUCACUGUGACGGAGCAGGUUGCGGCCACGGCAGAGCAGCAGCCGUGUCCUGUCUCGGUCAUCAAUUCUCCCCUCCUUGGCGAGGAGAGCUCCCCGUGCUCUCCGGUCUCCAAGCGCUCCGACGACUCCAAAGGAGAUCAAUUGACCGAGCGCGAAGACGACGCCAUUGCAUCGUACAACGGACGCGGUCGGGUGGCGCCGGAGGAGGUCGACGUUGCCGACUACGUGUACGUGGCGGAGAUUCUUCGCGCCACGGGAAGCCACGCCGACACGACCGAUGCGUACGACUUGCUCGAGAAGCGCAGCAGCGGAUCGUCCGAAUGCUCGAAGGACACGCGGCUCCGCCGCCUCCUCGUGUUCGACGCCGUGGCAGAAAUCCUCGACCGGAAACGCCGCCUGUCGCCCCCUCCCUGGGAGUCAUUCGUGCUUCCAGGAUCCCUCUCCGCGGUCGCUCCCGGCGGCGCCGCCCAUCUACUGCCGGAGGUGUGGGCUGAGCUACAACGGGCGGGGCGGCAGGCAAUGGCCGGCGACCUCAGCAGCGUCACGUGCUGGGCCGUGCGCAGGGACCUAUUCGUGGAAACCCUAGACGUCUGGGCCCGGCCCGCCGCCGAGGUGGCCGACGCCGUCAUCCAAAUCGAACGCCAGAUCUUUAAGGACCUCGUCUCCGCCACAAUUAGCGACCUCGCCGACGCCAUGCCCCGCGCCAUUCGUUCCCGCAGCAAGCGGCUCUUCUAAAUCAGCGUGCUUGCAUCGCAAUCGAACGGAUCAUACCCCGAUCAUGAUCCUCGUCCCAUUUUGACGGCCGUGAUUUCUCCGUAAACGGUUCAGAAACUGCAGCUGUCCGAGCUUUGUCUUUUGUUUCCCUGACAAAGUAUUAACAUACAUACACCGAACCGUUUUGACCCAAAGCAAAGCCCAUGGGCCUCAGACAUUGAGGAAUUGGCGGGGCCCACACGAUCGUGCCACGCCGGCGCCGACAUGAAGGCGCUUAGCUUUCUACGUCGAGGCCAUGCAUACUAACGUAACAAGAACACCUCCAUCUGCUAACGCUGAUCGGUUCGGACCCAAAAUGAUACCCCCUUGAUGAAGUUUCUGGGCCCAUGCCGUUGUGCCGCUCUGGCACCGACGUGGAUUUACUUCUGUCUACGUCUCCUCUGUAUUAACGAAUCUGGAUGAUGAAGAAGGAAAGCUUUGGAAAAGCCGAGAUUUCCCAGGUUGUUUCGCGUCUCUCGCGCCCUCUCGAUUCUUGAUCGCGGAAGGAUCAGAGUACCCUCGGGUCAUGUCUCUCGAUUCCUCCUCCGAUUCGCCAUCGCCAGGUUGGAUCCUGUUGCCCUCUUCGUUCGGACAAGCCUGGUAGGGUUUGCUCCUGGAUAGGCAGGGGGUAGGAUGUGGGCGGUGCCAUCGAGGUUCUGGUUUUUGCUGUUCCCCGCCAACGAGUACAAGAUCGUGGUGGCCGGGUUGGAGAAUGCCAGCCAAGCGACGACGCUCUACAAGCUGCACCUGGGAGAGGUCGUCAACACGAGCCCUUCCAUUGGGAGUAACGUGGAGGAGGUCGUCUACAAGAACAUUCGGUUUGAGGUCAGUGACAAGUUUGUGAUUGCUAGCCUACUAUUAUUGCUAUUUAAAGGUUAAUUAACUUGUAAUUGCUCUAAACUUGAGUGCAAUGCGUUUAUGAGCACAUCUCAGGGGUAGAAAUUUGAUAUUUUAUUAUUAAUAUUGUUAAGAAUAACGAUGAAACGAAGAAAGAUAUGGUACUCUCUAUUUAUUGUUGGGUUCGGUCCAUAUGGGUUGGGACAAUUGGACUUUUGAAGCCCAAAUCAAUAAUUAAGAGAGAUAGGUUUUGGUGCAACGUGCGUGUGUACAGUGCAGUAUGCAAGAGAGUGCACAGUGAACGUGUGCGGUGGGAGAAAUAGAGAGAGAAAGUAAGGUUUCUGAGUUUUCUGUUUGACGAUCGGUGGCCAAAUGUUGUCAGUUUUGGCUCAAAUUUUAUGUGGAGAAUCCUUGCAGCAAACUCUACAAUCCUAACGGUGUUGAUCUACAGUUUACCCUCUCUAAGGUAUUUUUCUACUAUAUCCACUUUGUGAGAUCUAGAAUUCUCUUACGAGGAGAUCCACCCUAUGUGAUGAAG